CCAAGAGGCUGAGGUCAAACAGUUUAUCCUGUCCCAGAUUACAACUAUAUCAGUGUUCAAGUCCUUAUUGCUUUUGACCCUCAGAUCAGGUGGAGGGGGACCAUAUGCCAGAACAUCACAGCAUUGAGAAGCUGCACCCCAUACAGGACCACAUGUGCCAGCAGAGCUCACCAAUAAUAAUGGGGAGGACUGAAGUAACUGCUUUUAAUAGCAGCAUCAUGGAAAAUGUGUCACCACCAUCACCUCAUAGCUCACUCAGGAACAACCUGUUAAGAAGGACAUGAGAUGCUUAAUCUGCACAGUAAUAAAUAUCACACAAACUCAAUU